rnacentral:rRNA from 1 species
UACGUAGGGUGCGAGCGUUGCCCGGAUUUAUUGGGCGUAAAGAGCUUGUAGGUGGUUUGUCGCGUCUGCUGUGAAAAUCCGAGGCUCAACCUCGGACUUGCAGUGGGUACGGGCAGACUAGAGUGUGGUAGGGGAGACUGGAAUUCCUGGUGUAGCGGUGGAAUGCGCAGAUAUCAGGAGGAACACCGAUGGCGAAGGCAGGUCUCUGGGCCAUUACUGACACUGAGAAAGCG